rnacentral:lncRNA from 1 species
UUAAGCCACCGAAUUUUGAGGUUGGUUAUGCAGUAUUUUUGUGACAUUAGCUAACUGAUAGACCAUGCCAUAGAAACGCCUGCUAUCAAGAUAAAUAGAUGACUGACGACUGGGAGUCAUGAAAAGGCUCAGGCUCCACCUGCCAAGGGUUGCUCGACUUAGCAAAUAAAAAUACAGGACCCAGAUAAAUGUAAAUUUCAGAAAAUCAUCAAAUAAUUUUUUAGUAUAGGUAUGUCCCACGCAACAUUUCGGAAAUACUUACACUAAACAAUUAAUGCUUAUUUGAAUUACACACUUAACUGGCAUCCUCUAUUUUAUCUGGCAAUUCUAUUCUGGUAGAUUUCCAAGAGUCGCACUCUGCAGAAAGCACCUAUGCGUAAAAAUGGGCCUGAGCUAGAGAAUCAGAGAUGAAAACAGGAAGUCAUCUCCUCUACCCUCCAUCAGGCUUUAAGUCUCUGAGGCAGACUUUCCUAGAGGGACUGAGUCAGAGAAAAAGCUGCCUAAAAUGUUAAGAAAGUGCAGGCUUGCCAGUGGUUGGGAGAAGUCUCUUUCAGCUUUAUUAUUUAACCACCUUAAAAUCGGCGGUGCAUCAGGGAGCCCUGUCUUCCCUGGUUUCGGCAGCCUGUGGUUCCACAGAGAGCAUCCCUCCAAACCAUCUGAAUCCUGCAUCCCUUUCACUGGAUCCAAGAAGCGUUUCCUGGGUUACUGCACCAUCUGUCUCUGAGGUACCUGCAAGGGAAAGACACUGUGGGGGUGGCGAGAAAGGGACUGCAGACGGCCCAGGAGGGGACUGUGCAGGGACUGUUUGUCAAGGAGUCGGGCCAGCUAAUGAGUGACCAGUGAAGCCAGGGGGCUGGAUGAAAUCGGAGAGAAGAAAUCGAACACCACGGAGGUGAGAGUGCAGAAGAGCUACCACGUGGGAACUCAGUCCGCCCUCCACCUUCAUCUGUCUCUUUAGCAGAUUCGGACAAGCCACUGUUUUUGGCUUUGCACAGACUAGUUGGCUGUUUUCAUGAAUAAUCUCCAACUCAAUCCGGGAAGAAAUUCCACGCUGUCCGCCAGCAGCACAGAUUGUUGCAGGAAAAAUGACACAACUUCAUCCUCUGGGCAAACUUGAAAAUUAUUACAAAUUUCCCCAUCUCUCCUCCACUUGCACAGCUGGCUGUAGAAGGGUGUCAGUUUUUCCAUGGAGAUAGGAGACUUUUUCUCCGUGUGAUUUCUCGUGAUCAGACAAAUCCCUAUGGCCCUUUGUUUACUUUCAUCCUGGGUCCCUUUCCCCUGACACUGAGGUAGAAGCUGUGCAGGCUCUGCUCCUGAGCACUUCUCAGGACUCAGGUAGCAAGCUCGCCUACGCAUGGCCUUGGUGCAAAGAUGGAUUCCAGAAAGGGACACCGACCAGCUAAAAUUCUGCACCUCCAGAUAAAUGACACCAUGAAAACCAAAUGUGCAUAAUGUGGUCAUCAGGGCAGCACAGUUUUGACAUAAACCACAUCCAGCUUGUCUGAGGACCAGGGUUGACCUAACCACCGAUAACUCUGUCUGUGACCGCUGACAGUACUAGAACUCAGCUUUUUCCAGGUAUGCAGGCUCCCACUCACAUGUUGCUUGUAGAUUUCAUAGACUCUCUCCCACUUGGAUCCAAUUCAGUGAAUAAUUCUUGAAUCCCUAUGGCGCUCAUCACACCGUGCUAGGCUCCAGGGGAAUACAAUAAUUAAUAAGGGUCUAGCUUCAGGCAUUUUGCUGUUUGGAAGGAAAAGAGAUCUACAAAUCGCUAUAAAUGUGAGAAGAGACUAAAAAGGACCUGCACGGUUGUAGCGACCAUGGAAGGAGGGGAUAUGGAGAGAUGGUCCUUGGCAGGGAAGGCCUAGGUGUUCUCAUGGAGGAGGCAGCAUUUGAGCAGGGCCAUAAAGGGCUUUAGCGAUGGCCUCUGGGAGGUCAGGAAAGAGAAAUCUAGGUUUGCAAUUUUUCCUCCCACUUAUUCCUAAAUAUCUGGUAGCCUCUCUUUUCUUCACAACAGUCCCUUUCAACCUCUCUUGCUCUUGUUUAGAAUAAUUCUUUGUAAGUUCUGUCUGCGUCUACAGCUUGCAGGCUGAGGAAGAGCUCAGAGCCCUGACAAGCUAAGUUUGAUUCUAUGACAAGCUGGCUGCAGGCAUUUGGUCCAUGAGGAAAUGACAUGUGCAACCAUGUUAGCUUCCAAAACUUCCACCUGGCCUUGAUCACCCAGGGUCUCCAGACACUCGUGUGUGUUGAUCUUGGGAUGCAAAACAGCUGCUGGCCUCUGAGGCGUCUCGGUAACUAUGGAGACAGGAACAUAAACAUCAAUGAGGAUGUCAGGAAGCAGGCAGCCGGUGUUAGGAGUGAAAGCAUCGGCGAGGCUGAUCUGGCAUUGGCGGCAUGUGCUGCAAAUGAUGAAAACAGGAUUCCAAGGCCUCUCUGCUAUCAGGCGGGAUGGCUGUAGCUUUAAAGUGGGGCACCUCUGCUCUCCCUCCUUUUCAUUCAGUUGCUUAGAUAUUCAUUUGUUUAUUGCACAAAUAUGUCCUGAGGGGCUGCUACGUGCAAGACACAGUGUAGGCAGUGGAGAUAGAGGCGAAGAAGGCAGAGUCCCUGUCCUCACAGAGCUUCCCAGGAUAGGAGACUUUCAAGCUAAAACUGGGACAGUCCUGGGGACACUUGGACAAGUUGGUCACCCUACUGAGGGGACAGACCAUUAAGUAUGCAUAUAA